rnacentral:rRNA from 1 species
GGACUACAAGGGUAUCUAAUCCUGUUUGCUCCCCACGCUUUCGCGCCUCAGCGUCAGUGAUGGUCCAGUUGGCCGCCUUCGCCACCGGUGUUCUUGCGAAUAUCUACGAAUUUCACCUCUACACUCGCAGUUCCACCAACCUCUACCACACUCAAGCCAAGCAGUAUCGAAGGCAAUUCCGUGGUUGAGCCACGGGCUUUCACCCCCAACUUACAAGGCCGCCUACGCGCCCUUUACGCCCAGUGAUUCCGAGCAACGCUAGCCCCCUUCGUAUUACCGCGGCUGCUGGCAC